rnacentral:tRNA from 1 species
GUCUCGAUGGUGUAGUUGGUUAUCACGUGGGUCUCAUACUAAAGUAUGACGUUGAAGAACAACUUCAAUGCGAUCCCAAGGCCGGGAGUUCGAACCUCCCUCGGGACA